UACGUAGGGCGCGAGCGUUUGUCCGGAAUUAUUGGGCGUAAAGAGCUCGUAGGCGGCCUGUUGCGUCCGCUGUGAAAUCCCGGGGCUCAACCCCGGGCUUGCAGUGGAUACGGGCUGGCUAGAGGCAGGCAGGGGAGAACGGAAUUCCCGGUGUAGCGGUGAAAUGCGCAGAUAUCGGGAGGAACACCGGUGGCGAAGGCGGUUCUCUGGGCCUGUACUGACGCUGAGGAGCGAAAGCGUGGGGAGCGAACAGG
rnacentral:rRNA from 1 species